UAUGAAUGCUGCCGCCAUGGUUCCCCCGGUGCAUUCGGCCGGGGGCUAAGAGGGAAGCCGGUGCCCUGUCGGGAAUGCCGGCGCUGCCCCCGCAACUGUAGGCGGUGAGCCAGUCCGACAAGCCACUGGGGUUUUGCGCCCCGGGAAGGCGGACGAAGGCGACGACCCGCGAGCCAGGAGACCUGCCACGGCGCAAUUUUCGUC
rnacentral:ncRNA from 2 species